rnacentral:misc_RNA from 1 species
GAUGAAGAACGUAGCGAAAUGCGAUAAGUAAUGUGAAUUGCAGAAUUCAGUGAAUCAUCGAAUCUUUGAACGCACAUUGCGCCCACUAGUAUUCUGGUGGGCAUGCCUGUUCGAGCGUCAUUUCAACCCUCAAGCCACAGUUGCUUGGUGUUGGGAGCUUAUCUUUGCCGAAAGGCGGACAACUCCUUAAAACUAUUGGCGGAGUCGCGGUGACCCCAAGCGUAGUAAAUUUUUUUUCUCGCUUUAGGUAUCAACGCUGGCUUUCUAGCCGUUAAACCCUCUAAAUCUUUAGUGGUUGACCUCGGAUCAGGUAGGACUACCCGCUGAACUUAAGCAUAUCAAUAAGCGGAGGA